AAAUAUUUUUUUGUAAACACAUAUAAAGAUUUGUCACCGUUCAAAGAUGCAACAUUUAAUUGAAAUCUCGUCUCUAUCUUCAACGUUUUUUUUUAAGAAACUUCAUAUGUUAUCUAAUGUAAAAUACAACAAAUUAAGGAACUUUCUUUGGAAACACCAAAUUGCAUUUAUUCCCAGAGAAAUACAUAUAUGUAUUUAGCGCGAACAUAGCUUCAAAACUUGAAUUUACAAUUUAUGCAGACCUUGUAAACAGCCAUCCAAAGAAAAACAAGUUUUUUAUUUCAAAAGAAACCAUAACUGGUUGUUGGUAAUUAAACUAUGAAAUUUCGGGUUUUCAUUUUGUAUAAAUAUAAUUAUUUUUCGGGUACAAAUUUUAAAUACACCACCAAAUUUAUGUGACAUAUUGAUAUUGAUUAGAUUCUGACUAGACGUUGUUUUAUGCGACUAAUUAGGAAGAGAUAAAGAAUAACACACGCAAUAACAUCAAGUUAAAAAUAUGCAUAAACUCAUCAUAAAUUGAUCUAACGUUACUACUACGUUUAUUUAAAAUAUUAGAAAAAUAUAAUUAGCAUAAUUCCUCGAUACAAAGUCGAAUGACUUAUAGAAAAAUUCACUGUUUUAGUUCGGUCUUCAACAUAGAUCUAAAUAUGUGGAAGCCAAUCGAAUGGCAGGAUUUUAUCAGCAUAGAAACAUUUCCCCUCAGACAGUUUCUUCUGGUGUUCUUCACCUCUACAUCAGUAAUUUGGUUUUUACAAAUUCUAUGGAACAGAAGAACGCUCUACAAAGAAUCUUUUAAAUUACCCGGUCCAUUUGCUCCACCCUUAAUAGGAUCGGCGCUGAAAUUGAGCGGAAAUUCGUAUGGUCUUUUUGCAUCAAUAUCCCAGCUAUUUGACCAGUACCCGAGACUAUUCAGGGUGUGGUUUGGUACCCGACUGUUCUACGCAGUGUCCGAUCCGAGGUACUUUGAGAUUUUGAUGAAUAGUCAACACGCUUUGAAGAAGGAACAUUUAUACCGGAUGGCUGAACCCGUAUUCGGACAAGGACUUUUUAGUGCACGAUCUGUUCCAUAUUGGAAAGCGCAUCGAAAAGUAAUCACGCCAACAUUCAACCAAAAAAUCCUCAAUGGUUUUAUGGACAUUUUCACCGAACAAUCGAAUAUUCUGUCUGAUGUUUUGGAAAAGUACGCUGGAAAAGGAGAAGUCGAUGUUUUCAAGCUGUUUUCCAGUUGUACUUUGGAUAUUAUAUGCGAAACUGCCAUGGGAGUUCAGAUGAAAGCCCAAUCCACCGAAAGCCGUUUUGCUGAACAGCUUGAAAAGGUUUUAGAAAUCAUCACUAUAAGGAUUUUUAAUAUAUUCUACCACUGGGACUUUUUCUUUAACCUCACGCCAUUAGGGCGAGAAUUUAGAGUUGCUGGUAAAGAGCUUCGCGCGUUUACAAAACAGGUACUGGACCAAAAAAAGGCGCUUAAAGAAGGAAGGAAGACGCAUGGCCUUACAUUAGAAAGUACUCCCAAAAGACUAGCCUUUCUUGAUUUGCUCUUGGACAUAAACGAUAGUGGAGAGUUUAAAUUUACUGACGAGGAAAUAAUGGAUGAAACCCUGACUCUGCUGUUUGCAGGUUCGGACACGACAGCGACCGUCGACAGCUACACGUGUACAAUGUUAGCAAUGCAUGAAGAUAUUCAGGAAAAAGUAUUAGCAGAGAUUCUGGAUGUUGUGGGGCCAACCGAAAGUGUCGGAUUAGACCAUUUGCCGCAGCUGAAAUAUUUGGAACGGGUGAUCAAAGAAACCAUGCGACUUUUUCCUAUCGCGGCAAUUCUAGUUCGAAAGGCUGAAGAAAAUAUCGACAUUGGUGACCACAUAAUUCUAAAGGACUGUUCGAUUGUGUUCGGAAUACUGAAUGUUCAUAGAAACGAAAAAUACUGGCCACAGCCAAAUAAAUUCGAUCCUGAUCGAUUUUUGCCGGAAAACGCAUCGGCAAUCCAACCGGGCUCGUAUUUGCCUUUUUCAUAUGGGCCGAGGAACUGCAUAGAGUAACUGUACAGGGUGGGUUACAUUCGAGCCUCAUCAUUGAAAUGUCGGUAACUAAAAGAGAUAGAAAAUGGAUUAAAUCAAGGCAAAGUUUUCCAGCGACUUUGUAUAAUUCAACUCGCAGUAAGGCCCGAAAUAUGCGAUGAUGGACAUGAAGGCUCUUCUGGCGACAGUACUUCGAAAAUAUCGAGUGGUGACCUCCUACAAGAGAAUAGAGGACAUAGAAGUGAAAAUGAACUUACUUUUACGUCCUCGGGAUGGAUAUAAAGUAGCUUUUGAAUUACGUACGUGAUUCUUCCAACUUUUUAGAAUAUUUAUUUAUAUGGUGGUUGUUCUUAUUUCUAUAGCUAUUUCGAAAAUAAAUAGUUUUUAUGUAGA
rnacentral:misc_RNA from 1 species